AUGUUGGUCUCCUUGCAGCAAAACCAUUUGCAGUGUCUUUCAAUCCUACCACUAAGCUUUCCAUUGAUGAAGGUCCUCUUUGGGAGAUACUUCCUCUUACAGAAAGUUGAUUGGAAUAUUGAUCAACCUACCAAUUCAAGGCGAGACAUAUCCUUUGUUGUGCAACAUUUGAGCCAAUAUGUUUCUCAACCUUGUAUGCCUCACUACCAAGCUGCAACACAUGUCCUCUGGUAUUUGAAAUCCGUUCCUACUAAAGGCAUUAUUUUCUCUUCCUCCAGUAAGUUGCAACUUUUUGGUUUUGCUGAUUCAGAUUGGGCUAUGUGUCUCGAUACCAUAAAAUAUGUCACUGGUUAUUGUGUAAUGUUAGGCACGUCCCUUUAG